GGCAUGGGCAGGCUCUGACGGGCUGGGGCGAUUCUCGUGCAGGCCCAAGUGGAGGCGCUGAGGAGCCAGAACAUGUUCCUGGUGCUGGCCCUCAAGGCGCAGAGGGAGCAGGGCUGCCAACAGGACGACAGCCCCAUGGAGACUCCCAUGGAUAUGGAGGGGAUGGCGGAGGAGUGCUGGCCACCCUGGAGGAGGAGCAUUAGCCCCCUCCAGGAAAUGGAGGCAGGGUCCCAGGAGGACAAGGGGACCCAAACCAAGCUGCCCCUCCCUGCA